AGUCCUGCCCCUUUGGAUCAUUUUUAGUUAUUAGUUUUGAUGUUAUUGCCUCCCCUACUCAUCUUGUCUUGUGGGUGAAUUCUUCUCCUCUAAAUAUCUCCUUGUUACCCUCACUCCUCUUUAUUGCCCCCAGGGGCUCCCCUCCUACCUUCUCACUUGCAAACACCCUCUUCCUAAGACUGCCUGCCUUGCCCUGAUUCCACAGUCCCCCACCCCCGUUUACCCAAGAUCAUUAAAAAACACCUUGAGAAGAAACAUCCCUUUCCGGAAUGACUGCACAUACUGCUUCCCUGUCCUAGUCCAUAUUCUUGAUUUUUUUCUCCCUUCCUCUGCCAGGUGGCUUUGCAGAUAUUUCAUUUCAAUUCAGGGUUCCUGUCAUCAAGUCGUGAAGAAUAGACAUUUCAAACAUAAAUCACCCCAAUUGGCCUCUUGUUGGCAUUCUCCGUAAAGAUUUUGAAGAAAGGAGAGUAAAGCCAGUACAAAAAUGUAGUUUUAAAAAAAUCACUUUUCAUUCUGGAAUCAUUAUAGAUUUGCAGGAAGUUGCAAAAGUAAUGCAGAGGUCCUGUGUACCUCCCACAUAAUUUUCCAAAUCUUAACAGCUAACAUAACUACAGCACAAUACCAAAACUAGGACAUAGACAUUGGUAAAAUCCACAGACCUAUCCAGAUUUCACCAGUUGCACAUGCAUCAUUUAUGUGUGUGUGUGCGCACACACAUGCAUUCUAUGAAUUUUAUCACAUGUGUAGAUUCACAUACCCCCUAUCACAAUAAAGGUACAGAACGAUUUCAUGACCACAAAGUUUCCUUGAGCUAUGCUCACACCCACCCUCCUCUCCCAUCAUCUUCUAAUUCUUGGUAAUCUGUUCUCUCUCUUUACAAUUUUCACAUUUUGAGACUGUUGUAUAAAUGAAGUUAUAGGUAGCUUUUAAGAUAGACUUUUUUUUUACUCAGAUUCUUUUUGGUGAAAUGUCUGCUCAUAUCUUUUGUCAAUUUUCUAAUUGCAUUUUUUUUUACUGUUGAGUUAAAUACAUAUUUUAUAUACACACAUAUAUACUCUAGAUAUAAAGCUUUUGUCAGAUAUGUGGUUUGCAAAUAUUUCUCCCAAUCUGAUCUAGUACAUUUAUUUUCUUAGCAGAGACCUUUACAAAGCAAAGUUCUUAAUUUUCAUGAACUCAAUUGACCAAAUUUUUUUUGGGAUGGAUCGUGCUUUGGUAUCCAUGUCUGAGAACACUUCAUCUAGCCCUAGAUCCUAAAGAUUUUCUUUUUAUUUACUUUUAAAAGUUUUACGGUUUUAUAUUUUAAAAUAUGAUAUAUUUUGAGAUAAUUUUUGUGCAAAGUCUGAGGUUUAGGAUAAGGUUCAUUAUUUUUGCCUAUACCUAUUCAAUUGUUUCCACAUCAUUUAUUGAAAAGAAUAUCUUUCCUCUUUUGAAUUGCUUUUGCACCUUCGUUGAAAAUCAGCCAGUUAUACUGUGCACAAGGUCUACUUAUGAAUUAUCUAUUUUGUUCCAUUGAUCUUUGUGUGUAUUACCAGUUCCACACUGUCUUGAUAACUGUAGUUAUAUACUAAGUCUAAAAAUCAGGUUGGAGGAUUCAGUCCACUUUAUUUUUCUUUUUUCAAAAUUGUUUUAGCUAUUCUUUUCUUUGCCUCACCAUAUACAUUUUAAGAUAAGUUUACCCAUACCUACAAAAAUUCUUGUUGAGAUUUUGGUGAGAAUUGGACUAAAACUAUAGUUUGAUUUGGGGAGAACUGACAUUUUCACUAUGUUGAAGAUAAACAUGGCACAUUUCUCCAGUUUUCUAAGAUAUCUAAUUUCUUUCACCAGCAUUUUGCAUAUUUAGUAUACAAGUUCAGUAUAUUGCUUAUUAGAUUUACCUAAGUAUUUCAUUUUUUUAGUGACUAUAAAUGGCAUUGUUUUAAAUUUUGAUUUAUAUAUGUUUAUUGGAGUAUAUGUAAACAAUUGAUUUUUGCAUGUUCCUCUUGAAACAUCUAUGAUAUAAUCAUCUAUGCAGAAAAUCAGACUGACAAAAAAAAACUUCUGGAAAAAUAAGUAAUUUUAGGAAGGUUGCAGGAUGCAAGGUUAAUAUACAAAAGCCAAUUGCUUUCCUAUAUACCAGCAGUGAACAAGUGGAAUUUAAAAUUUUGAAUGCAAAACCAUUUACAUUAUUACCCCCCAAAAUAAAAUACUUCAGUCUAAAUCUAACAAAAUAUGUACAAGAUCUAUAGGAGGAAAACUACAACAUUCUCAUGAGUAAAAUCAAAGAAAAAAUAAAUAAAUGGAAAGAUAAUCCAUGUUGUGGAUAGGAAGACUCAAUACAGUCAAGAUGUCAAUUUUUUAAACUUGAUCUAUAGAGUCAAUGCAAUCUAAAUCAAAAUCUCAGUUAUUUUGUGGAUAUUGAAAAACUUACUCUAAAGUUUACAUGGAGAGGUAAAAUACCCAGAAUAGCCAUCACAAUAUUGAAGGAGAACAAAGUUGGAGGACUGAUGCUACCUAACUUCCAGACUCACUACCAAGACAGUUGGUAUUCAGAAUAUAACAAAUAGAUCAAUGGAACAGAAUACACAGUCCAGAAAUAUACCCACAUAAAUACAGCCAAGUGGUCUUCGACAAAAAAGCAAAGGCAAUAUGAUAGAGCAAAGGUAGUCUCUUCAACAAAUGUCUGGAAUAAAGGACAUCCACCUGUAAAAAAUGAAAAAAAUAAAUCUAGACACAUAUUUUAUGCCCUUCACAAAAAAUUAACUCAAAAUGGAUCAUAGGCCUGAAUGGUAAAUACGAAACUAUAAAACCCUAGAAGAUAACAGAGGAGGAAAUUUAGAUGACCUUAGGUUGGUUGAUGACUUUUUAGAUCACAACACCAAAGGCAUAAUCCAUGAAAAAAAUAAUUGAUAACCUGGGCUUCAUUAAAAUUAAAAUAUUUUACUCUGCUAAAGACACUGUCCAAGUUCCCGUCAUGGCUCAGUGGAAACGAAUUUGACUAGCAUCCAUGAGAACACAAGUUCCAUUCCUGGCCUAGCUCAGUGGAUUAAGGAUCUGGCAUUGCCAUGAGCUGUGGUGUAGGCUGAAGAUGCAGCUUAGAUAUGGCAUUGCUGUGGCUGGGAUGUAGGCUGGCAGCUACAGCUCUGAUUUGACCCCUAGCCUGGGAACCUCCAUCUGCCUCGAGAGGGCC
rnacentral:lncRNA from 1 species